UACGUAGGGUGCAAGCGUUGUCCGGAAUUAUUGGGCGUAAAGAGCUCGUAGGCGGUUCGUCGCGUCGGCUGUGAAAACCCGGAGCUCAACUCCGGGCCUGCAGUCGAUACGGGCGGACUUGAGUGUUGCAGGGGAGACUGGAAUUCCUGGUGUAGCGGUGAAAUGCGCAGAUAUCAGGAGGGACACCGGUGGCGAAGGCGGGUCUCUGGGCAACUACUGACGCUGAGGAGCGAAAGCGUGGGGAGCGAACAGG
rnacentral:rRNA from 1 species